UCAGUGUAUGACUCAAGAUGAUUUUUUAAAUUUUGGUAACAUAAAAUUUACCAUUAUACCCAUUUUCAAUGUGACUUUUUUAAACUCUGAGAAAUUUUAUAUGACUCUUUUCUGAUUCUGGAGUUUGGAAACUGAGGUCAACUUUAGUAUGGUUUAUGAAGCCUCUCUUUGCCCAGAGAGCUGCAGAUCUGAGCCCUGAAAAGAAGGGAUAUUGGGCACAGCUGAAUGGCUCCGUUGACCUCACUCUGGUUUCCAACCUAGGAAGGGCUGACAGGCUCCAGCACUUUCUUCCAGGGUCCGCAAAGGGCAGAGGCUUGAAGUUAGGCAUCACUGGGUUCUCAGCUGGGCCUCUAAGACCCCUCCUCCCACUUUGCAGAGCAAAGAGGAGGCGGCUGCAGAGGAUAUGAGCUCCUCUGCUCCUCCCUCUCCUUGCUUUUCCCCACACCCACCCUCUCCCCCACAGCAGCCAUCUCCCCCACAGAGACUGGGAAGAGGGAGGGGGCGGGGUUGGGGACUGAGGGAUCAGAAGCCCCACAGCGCCCUGUCUCUGAAGGAAGCUCUGGCCAGGGCAGCUGUGCUGGCUCAUGCUCCCCUCCUAGUGCUGCGUGCCCCCUCCGGCAUGAUGCUGGGGACUCUGGGCCUUUGGGUACCACUUCCCACAGCUGUGCGCGCACCCCCAAGCAGGCGGACCUGUGUGUUCUUUGAGGCCCCUGGAGUGCGGGGAAGCACAAAGACACUGGGGAAGCUGCUAGAUGCAGGACCAGGGCCCCCCAGGGUUAUCCGCUGCCUCUACAGCCGCUGCUGUUUUGGGAUCUGGAACCUGACCCAAGACCAGGCACAGGUGGAGAUGCAAGGAUGCCGAGACAGUGAUGAGCCAGACUGUGAGUCCCCCCACUGUGACCUGAGCCCCCGAGCCCACCCCAGCCCCAGGUCCACUCUCUUCACCUGCUCCUGUGGCACUGACUUCUGCAAUGCCAAUUACAGCCAUCUGCCUCCUCCAGGGAGCCCUGGGACUUCUGGCUCCCAGGGUCCCCCACCUGUCCCAGGCGAGUCCAUCUGGAUGGCACUGGUGCUGCUGGGGCUAUUCUUCCUCCUCCUGCUGCUGCUGGGCAGCAUCAUCUUGGCCCUGCUACAGCGAAAGGCCUGCAGAGUACAAGGUGGGCCAGAGCCUGGGCCAGAGCCAGAGCCAGAGCCAGACUCAGGCAGGGACUGGAGUGCUGAGCUGCCCGAGCUGCCUGAGCUGCGUUUCUCCCAGGUAAUCUGGGAAGGAGGUCACACAGUGGUGUGGGCUGGGCGGCUGCAAGGCAAACUGGUAGCCAUCAAGGCCUUCUCCCAGAGGGCUGUGGCCCAGUUCCAAGCUGAGAGAGCGUUGUACGAACUGCCAGGCCUACAGCACGACCACAUUGUCCGCUUUAUCACCGCCAGCAGAGGGGGCCCUGGCCCCCUGCCCUGUGGGCCCCUGCUGGUACUGGAACUGCACCCGAAGGGCUCCCUGUGCCACUACUUGACCCAGCACACCAGUGACUGGGGAAGUUCCAUGCGGAUGGCACUGUCUCUGGUGCAGGGCCUGGCAUUUCUCCAUGAGGAGCGCUGGCAGGAUGGCCAAUAUAAACCAGGUAUCGCCCACCGAGAUCUGAGCAGCCAGAAUGUGCUCAUUCGGGAGGAUGGGUCGUGUGCCAUUGGAGACCUGGGCCUUGCCUUGGUGCUCCCUGGCCUCACCCAGCCUCCCACGUGGGCCCCUACUCAACCCCGAGGCCCAGCUGCCAUCAUGGAGGCUGGCACCCAGAGGUACAUGGCGCCAGAGCUCUUGGACAAGACUCUGGACCUACAGGACUGGGGCACGGCCCUCCGACAAGCCGAUGUGUACUCUCUGGCUCUGCUCCUAUGGGAGAUCCUGAGCCGCUGCCCAGAUUUGUGGCCUGACAGCAGACCACCACCCUUCCAACUGGCCUAUGAGGCAGAGCUGGGCAGCACUCCCACCACCUGUGAGCUGUGGACCUUGGCUGUAGAGGAGAGAAGGCGCCCCUACAUCCCAUCCACCUGGCACUGCUUCACCACAGUAAGAGGCCACCUGCUAGUGGGCUGGGGACCUGGAAAGUGUGGACAUGGCUUCAAGGACUUGUCUACUGGGACCAGCCCAUCUGCUUCUAUCCUCCUCUCAUCUGCCACCACUCCUGUCUCGUGUUCAGCUGGAGCUGGGCAAACUUGCUCUGCACCUCAGCUCAUCCCCUUCUACCAUAAGUCUCACAGCCCAUUCCUGAGACAGACACCUUCCUCCUGCUCAGACUUGCCUGGUCUGUCUCUCUCCUCCCCACCAUUGGUUAGCCCUAUUUCUCAGUCCCCUCCUCCAGGAAGCCCUCCUUAGCCUUGCUUCUGCCCUGAGCUCUGCUCCCAAGAUGGCUCCUCUCCUGGUACAGUGGAGCCCAGCAUUCAGUCCGGACCCUGGCGGCCUGAGAGAGCUGCUAGAGGACUGCUGGGAUGCAGACCCAGAAGCGCGGCUGACGGCGGAGUGUGUACAGCGGCGC